GAUCCUUCCCUUGGACAAAGAGAGAAGCGGCGCUCCAUCCUAAAGGAGGAGAUGAAAAAAUCGGACACUCCAAUCUAGCCGAUCUAGAGCACCGUUUGGGUUUCUUCUUCCUCCGCUCAGCUCACUCAAAUGAGAACCCACACACAAGAACAAAACAGUCGCUGCUGCUUCUUCAUUUCCCAUCCCAGCCCGUUUAGCCGUGAAAAGCUGUUACUUCAGCUCUAAAAACGAGCAGCAACCGAGAGGGACAAAAAUUCUCCCCUUUAAACAAACUGCCAGAAAUUACCACCCGAACCUAGUUGAAACAGUGUUUGUUUUUUAGUUGAAGAUCUGAAAAUCAAAAACUACAAAUAAUAGAAAGAAAACUGGAUUUUUUCCUAUAAAGAUUCAUGAUGCUGAGCUCCUCACAUUUGACUAUGUUUUGUUGCCAUCGAGUUCCUAAUUAUCCGAUUUUUUCUCUUGGAAUAGAUUCGAACUCAAGCUUGUAUUUGCUGGCUACAUUCUGUUAUUAUUAAAGGAUUUUGCUCAACAGGUUUGUUUUCCACUAUUCUAUCUUAAUUUUCUUAUAGUAGGUAGAAGCCUUGGAAGGGCUGUUGAGAUUUUGAUUUGGCAUCUAGUCGUCUGAGUUUACAUGUUAGUACAUAACAGUACAAGAUGGCUACGAUUUGAGUUAUAUUCUGAUUUGUUGUGUAUUUGAGUUGUUUAAUAUGCUUUAGUUUGAAUGUUUGAUGGAUGUAAUAUGCAAUGUCCUAUUUUUUUGGUUGAUGAUUUGAGGUUAGCAUAUAGUUAAUCCUCUGUUAGUAAACCAAAUUUGCUA